rnacentral:rRNA from 1 species
GACGAACGCUGGCGGCGUGCCUAAUACAUGCAAGUGGGACGCAAGGGAACACACUGUGCUUGCACACCGUGUUUUCUUGAGUCGCGAACGGGUGAGUAACGCGUAGGUAACCUGCCUAUUAGCGGGGGAUAACUAUUGGAAACGAUAGCUAAUACCGCAUAAUAUUAAUUAUUGCAUGAUAAUUGAUUGAAAGAUGCAAGCGCAUCACUAGUAGAUGGACCUGCGUUGUAUUAGCUAGUUGGUAAGGUAAGAGCUUACCAAGGCGACGAUACAUAGCCGACCUGAGAGGGUGAUCGGCCACACUGGGACUGAGACACGGCCCAGACUCCUACGGGAGGCAGCAGUAGGGAAUCUUCGGCAAUGGACGAAAGUCUGACCGAGCAACGCCGCGUGAGUGAAGAAGGUUUUCGGAUCGUACUGCUCUGUUGUAAGUCAAGA